rnacentral:tRNA from 1 species
GGGGGUAUGGCUUAAGUGAUAGAGCACUUGCUUAGCAAGAGAGAAGCCCUGAGUUUAAAUUUCAGUACCACCA